ensembl:lncRNA
AAAUGUAUUAAAAAAUCAGAAGAAAGACAAAAUGAGAGGAUGUGAAAGAGAGACCGAGAUUAUGCCUCCAUUUCCUUUCAUAUCUAUUCUGUAACUGCUCUCAUCCACCCAGCGGAAACCCACAGCUCCACUAAAACAAGCUUACUGGCCACACGUGCCGAUUGAAAGCACCAGUAAAGAUAUCUGCUCUACAACGAGGACGAGGAGCCACCCGCUGUGCUGAAGACUUGGCCAUGAGGGGCAGCACUCUGUGCUGGUCAGCAGAACCAAGACCUUCACCAUUCUCUUCGAUCUGUGGUAUGACAGGAAAAGAACCCAAAGAGCCCACUGUCACGGCCCACAGAGAGCUGUUGUCUCCUGGCUUGUAAUCUUCAUCCUUUGACCUCACUUUGUGGAGGUCCAUCUUCUCCAUUACCAGCAGAUGUUCUACCAGCCUUGUUGGAG